rfam:Gossypium raimondii Chr02_contig_823, whole genome shotgun sequence.
AAACCAUGCAUCAGGCAUUUUCUAAUUAAGUCCUUGAAAUGCUCCCAUGCUUCUUAUAAUGUCUCAUCUUCAAAUUGUCCGAACAAUGUAAUGUCAUUCCUUAGCUU